rnacentral:rRNA from 1 species
ACGGCGAGUGAAGCGGCAAAAGCUCAAAUUUGAAAUCUAACACUUUCAGUGUUCGAGUUGUAAUUUGAAGAAAGUUUCUCUGAGUAGUCCUUUAUCUAUGUUCCUUGGAACAGGACGUCAUAGAGGGUGAGAAUCCCGUAUGAUUUUGGAUACUAUUCUUUGUGAGAUUCUUUCGAAGAGUCGAGUUGUUUGGGAAUGCAGCUCUAAGUGGGUGGUAAAUUCCAUCUAAAGCUAAAUAUUGGCGAGAGACCGAUAGCGAACAAGUACAGUGAUGGAAAGAUGAAAAGAACUCUGAAGAGAGAGUGAAAAAGUACGUGAAAUUGCUGAAAGGGAAGGGCUUUAGGUCAGACUUGGUGUUUAAUGAUUAUCUUCUCUUUUUGAGUUGUGCACUCGUUUUUCACUGGGCCAAUAUCAGUUUCUGUGGUAGAGCACCUAUUGGAAUGUAGCUUUUCUUCGGAUGAGUGUUAUAGCCUUUAGACGAUCUAUUUACGGAGACUGAGGACUGCGCGUUAUGCUAGGAUAUUGGCGUAAUGACCUUAAGCCGCCCGUCUUGAACCACGGACCAAAA